rnacentral:rRNA from 1 species
UACGGAGGAUGCGAGCGUUAUCCGGAUUUAUUGGGUUUAAAGGGUGCGUAGGCGGCGUGUCAAGCAGGGGGUGAAAUGCCGGUGCUCAACACCGGAGCUGCCUUCUGAACUGGCAUGCUGGAGUGGCAGUGCCGUUGGAGGAAUGAGUGGUGUAGCGGUGAAAUGCUUAGAUAUCACUCAGAACACCGAUUGCGAAGGCAUCUGACGAACUGCCCACUGACGCUGAGGCACGAAAGCGUGGGGAUCAAAC